GACCUCAGAAGGUGACAUGAUAUUUGUAUGUGGAUUAAAGCAAAGCCCAAGAACUACUGGAAUCUUAAAGAACAAAUAAGCUGGGUUUCUGGAAGCUUGGGAGAGGAAACCAUAAACCAGAUCAGAUCUAACCACCAGCACAUGCUCAAUGGCAGAGUGAUUUUGUUGUCUAACGGUCAGCUUUACACUCACCGAAGGGAGGCUGUCGAACUCAUUUUUUCCAGUAACUACGGCAGGCUCAGGACCUAGGGAUUAAGGACUCUUCCAAGGCCAAAUAUGUGUUUGGGAGCUGAAAAGUUAAGGGAUGGAUCCUCCAAAAGUAAAAGAACCUGUGUGGGACAAAAACCUAAAAAUGACCCUGAAGGCAGUUCUACUGUCUCAAAAAACGAAGGUAAGCUUGGAAAUUUUUCAAAGACACUUUGAGCCUUAAAUAAUGGUUUAUGUUCAUAUGGAAUUCUGAAGAUUUUGUGUGUCUGUUGAAGAGCUUUAGGCCUUUUUACCUCUGUGUUUUGCCCCAUCUAUUUCAAAUUCCUAGGCAAAUACCACCACCAUCACUCCCAUUUCCUCACCUAGUUAUAAAUAUAGAACCCUUUUGAAGCAAGCCCUUACUGUGAAAGCAAAGUGUGGGGUGCUGGAUAUUCUCUGGUUGUGCCUCCAUCCACUACCCCCGCCCCCCCUUCCAUCCUAUGCUGUGCCCCUGGAAGGCUGAUCCCUAGAGGGGUUCUCCCUUGUCCUCUGGCUUCUGAUAGGGCUCAGCCAAUGUGAAGUGCUGGUAGGAGCCCUCCUUGCCUGGCUAUAGUUUGGCCAUGACCUUCCUCUACUUGUGGCCAUGCUCCUGUCAGGGACCUCAUUCCUACAGUGAUUUUUGAGUGGCUUCCGCGUACCAAGAACUAUGGGGAUGUAAAAAAUGUAACAUCCUUCACUUAGAUAUUAGUUGGAAAGACAAGAGAGCUAUGUAACAAUGCAAGGAGCAACAAUGAAAGAAUAUUGAUGUAGACUGGUCCUUAGACACGAUGAACGGAGCUUCUCUUUGUAAUGGGUAAGAGACAAGCAAACGUCGUGUGGAAGGUCAGCACGAAAUGCAAAUACUCUCUCUCAGGGUCAGAGCCUGCUGCUACAGGAGGAGGCUGAAGGCACCAGCGACACAUCGUUUUUCAUGAGUUCAUGACACCACGGGCUUUGAAGAUGAAGCUAUGCCAUGUGUCAGUGUUAGAACCAGCCCAGCCAAGCUGACUGCCUCAUCCCUCUGUUUCUAAGACUUUUGCCUAGAGACUUCAGGGGAUAAUAUUUGAGCAGGAAUAAUAGGGGAUAAUAGUAUGAGCAGGAAUUACCACUGGAGAAAGAAAUUCAAGGGAUUAGUCAGUUUAAGCGUUUGAUCUUUAAAGUUCUGAGGAUCAGAAGGCUGAGCAUACUGAUAAUAUAAGUCCAAUAGGGUGCAAAUUGUUAACAUAGUAGGUUCUUAACAUUGAAAGAUUUAACGUUUGUCGGUUUGACACAUUGUAACACAAUAGAAUAACGGCAGUUAAUUUUGGGGAAACGCGAACUUGAAUCAAGUGUGUAAUACAGCUGUGUAGCAGAGCGUCACCUACUAAUAACUGAGCCUAUAGCAGAUCCAAGGCACAGGAACGUGUGGUUUUUGUCCUCUACUUGUGCCACAUAGAAUUACAUUAAAUGAUGAGAAACACUUGCUCGAGGAAUUUGUAAUAGUAACUAUAAACUGGAAACAACUUAUAAGUCUACCAAUAGGGAGUAUUUACACUGAUACUAUAGACUAUUAGGGAGCUCUUAAAAAAAGGAUAAUAGUGAAAAGGAACUUGCCUUACCAGAAAUUACUUACUAUCAAACUACAGCAAUCAAACUGCAAGCUACUGGCAGAGUAAUAUAAAAACAAAUUAUUAAGUAGAAUAGAGUGUCCAGAAAUAGAUCCAAGCAAAUCUGAGGAAUUAAUCUGUGAUGGUUUAGUUCAUAGUGGUGCUGGCAUAAUUGGAUAUUUAUUCAGAAGAAACCACCUCAUACCAUGUAAAAUAAAUCCCAAAUGGAUUAAAUAUUUAAGAGUAAAAAGAAUAUAAUAAAAUAUUAUAACAAUAUAUAAGAAAAUAUUUGUGGAAACUCCCAGGUGGGAGAAACUCUCUUAAGAAACACUGGAAACUCAGAUGCCAUAAGGAAAAGACUGACCAAUUUGCUGAGUAAAUAAUUUUGGGUGGCACGUUCUACCCUAGUCAGAUUCACAAGACUGAGGGAAAUAUUUGCAUGCAUAUGUCAGCAAAGGAUCAAAGGCUUCAAAACAUAGAGGUAUGAAUAUAAAGAUGCUUAUGUUAGCAUUGUUUGAAGAGGAAACAUUUUGGAAACAACCUGAACAUCAAUCAAUGGGGGAAUGGUUGAAUGACUUAUGGUAUGAUCAUGAUAUGACUGUUAUCCAGAAAUUAAAGAAAAUGAGUUAGACUCAUAUAUUACCCAAGAAAGACGGCCAUAA
rnacentral:lncRNA from 1 species